GCCAUCCCCAGAAACUCCAAGAGCUGACCCUCUGUCUUACUAACUCAAACGGCCCAGAAACAUCAAAGUCUGACCAAAAACCGUUAAUGGUAGUCAGCUCCCUCCCUUUCACAGAGGUCUCACUACUGUCGGGGGGCGCCGGGCGCAGGCCGGGCAUGGGGCCUGAGCUUAGGCCAGGUGGAAAGGUGGAAGGACCUAGUGGGGACAGACGAAGAGACCGAGGAGCCGCCCGCCCGGCUAAAUGGACACAGGAAAGGCCUGAGUCAGGCUUCUCAUAAUAAAUAAACUGCACGUGAAUAAUUCAGCAGUCGCGCGGGGGCCGGUUGCAUCAGCGCCGCCGCCGCCGCGCGGCGCCCAAUUCCCCGCGGAGGGGAGUAGCCAAUUAAGGCACUUGAAAAGGGAGUCGGGUGGAAGAUCCCCCGCCCACCAGUAUCCUGGAUUUACCCAGGUCGAGUUCAGAGAGCCUCCCCGGUCCCAACCCCCUCGGGCCCCAUGGGUCAGGGGGCCGCCUGCUGGGAAGUGCUACCUCAGCUAAGCCGCUCAGGUGUCCCGAGACUCCGGGCAAGGGAAGACAGGCGGCGAGACGGAGCCAGAAUAAGGGAUGCGGACGUCUGACCUGUGGAAAACCCAGCAUCUGCAGUGCCCAGCCGCACAGGGAACGUGGGCGGCGUGGUUCCAAGCACAGUGAAGACGCCAGGCUCGGAUCUGUGCUCAGAGCCGGGAUCCCUCCGGGCUGCUUCGUCCUGGCCAGGACUUUCCUUGCCCUGAAGUGAGGCGCCAGGGAAGCUGCAGGGCCCUCCGCCCUCUCUGAACUCCCACGUACUUGGGCCUCUCCCAGCCUUUCUUGGACCUGUGGAAGCAAUUCCUGCAGGACCAGACUCCCCUGUCUCCCCGCGGCCCCCUAGGUACACUCCGUAACUUCCGAAACCUUAUUUCGUUUGAGCGAAACCCGGCCCCUUUGGCUCUUCCCACUUCCCACAAGUCCCUGGGUUCCCGAUCCUGAGGGAUUGCAUUCAUCCCAUCUCACACCCACCAACGCUCAAUCCCUCCAGUUCCUCCCCAGCCCCUUCACUUCCAUUAAUUAGGUCGACUCCCUUCCUUCGCCGCUCCCUCCUGUCCCCACUCAGCCUCCCUACACCUAUGCGGCGAGCCUCGGGCCAAGACCUCCGCCCUGGCUCCGCCAGUCCUGCGGGGGCCGGCAUGCACCAGACCUCAAAAGGGAUCUUCACGGGAAUUCCGCAUAGCCAGAUCCCAAGCCUCCAGGGAGGCCACCAGCCCUCCCCCAUCUUCUUCUUCCUCCUCCGUCUCCUUUCCUCUUCCCUCCGCCUCUACGUAUUUCUUUCUAUUCGUUUCUUUUCGUUUGGUGAGGUGCCACCCGCCACAGCCCUGUCCCCUAGGGAGAGGCCUGGACUAACUUUGCCGUCCUCGUGGCCUUAGCCCGGACUGUGAGUCUCGAGCGGCUUCCGAGAGGCAGCUCGGGUGUCUUCGCAGAGACAGAUGAGGUGGGCUGGCGAUUCCCUAGCCUCAGAUGGCUCUGCCACCAGCCAGCUCUGUGAUCCUGGCCGAUGGGGUGCCAGGCAUUAGAAACCUUCCCUCCAAUCCUCACCAUGUCUCCAUUUUGCCAAAGAAGAAACUGAGGUUAAGGUCGCGAUGCUCUGGCCAGCAUCACAGGGGCCUCUCUCUGAGAUCGGGUCCUCCUCCUGCAGGGCAGCAGAGUGGAAGCCAGGGCCUGGGACCCUCUGGCUGGGCAAGGAGGGACUGGAGUCCGGCUCCCGGUGACCCCGUCCCCAGUGCCAGCGGUGGGGUCGCCUGUGGCGGCCCGGACAGGCCACGGGUCCCUCUCCCCAAGUCCCAUUACGUUGUAUUUAUGUUUCAUUUUAUAGUUUUUUUUUCCUCCUCCCUUAUUAUUGUCUCACUCUGGGGGAGGCAAAGGAUAUAAUAUAUUCAUCUUUAUUAUACCAAAUCUGUGUGAAGCAUUUAAUAAAACGCUGUUUCCACACAGCCAGGGAU
rnacentral:lncRNA from 1 species